rnacentral:rRNA from 1 species
GUAGGGUGCAAGCGUUAAUCGGGAAUUACUGGGGCGUAAAGCGUGCGCAGGCGGUUAUGCAAGACAGAGGUGAAAUCCCCGGGGGCUCAACCUGGGAACUGCCUUUGUGACUGCAUGGCUAGAGUACGGUAGAGGGGGAUGGAAUUCCGCGUGUAGCAGUGAGAUGCGUAGAUAUGCGGAGGAACACCGAUGGCGAAGGCAAUCCCCUGGACCUGUACUGACGCUCAUGCACGAAAGCGUGGGGAGCAAACAGGAUUAGAUACCCUGGUAGUCCACGCCCUAAACGAUGUCAACUGGUUGUUGGGAGGGUUUCUUCUCAGUAACGUAGCUAACACGUGAAGUUGACCGCCUGGGGAGUACGGCCGCAAGGUUG